AUUGAACGCUGGCGGAAUGCUUUACACAUGCAAGUCGAACGGCAGCACGGACUUCGGUCUGGUGGCGAGUGGCGAACGGGUGAGUAAUGUAUCGGAACGUGCCCAGUCGUGGGGGAUAACGUAGUGAAAAUUACGCUAAUACCGCAUACGAUCUAUGGAUGAAAGCGGGGGAUCGCAAGACCUCGCGCGAUUGGAGCGGCCGAUAUCAGAUUAGGUAGUUGGUGGGGUAAAGGCCCACCAAGCCAACGAUCUGUAGCUGGUCUGAGAGGACGACCAGGCAAACUGGAACUGGGACACGGUCAAGACUCCGACGGGAGGAAGCAGGGGGGAAUUUUGGACAAUGGGCGAAAGCAUGAUCCAGCCAUUCCGCGUGCAGGAUGAAGGCCCUCGGGUUGUAAACUGCUUUUGUACAGAACGAAAAGGUUUCUACUAAUACUAGGAGCUCAUGACGGUACUGUAAGAAUAAGCACCGGCUAGCUACGUGCCAGCCGCCGCCGUAA
rnacentral:rRNA from 1 species